rnacentral:rRNA from 1 species
AGUGAACGCUGGCGGUAGGCCUAACACAUGCAAGUCGAACGGCAGCACAGUAAGAGCUUGCUCUUACGGGUGGCGAGUGGCGGACGGGUGAGGAAUACAUCGGAAUCUACUUUUUCGUGGGGGAUAACGUAGGGAAACUUACGCUAAUACCGCAUACGACCUACGGGUGAAAGCAGGGGAUCUUCGGACCUUGCGCGAUUGAAUGAGCCGAUGUCGGAUUAGCUAGUUGGCGGGGUAAAGGCCCACCAAGGCGACGAUCCGUAGCUGGUCUGAGAGGAUGAUCAGCCACACUGGAACUGAGACACGGUCCAGACUCCUACGGGAGGCAGCAGUGGGGAAUAUUGGACAAUGGGCGCAAGCCUGAUCCAGCCAUACCGCGUGGGUGAAGAAGGCCUUCGGGUUGUAAAGACCUUUUGUUGGGAAAGAAAAGCAGCAGGUUAAUACCCCGCUGUUCUGACGGUACCCAAAGAAUAAGCACCGGCUAACUUCGUG